CAGCCGCCACGGGAAUACGAAGGGUGCAAGCGUUACUCGGAAUUACUGGGCGUAAAGCGUGCGUAGGUGGUUGUUUAAGUCUGCUGUGAAAGCCCUGGGCUCAACCUGGGAAUUGCAGUGGAUACUGGGCAACUAGAGUAAGGUAGAGGAUAGUGGAAUUUCCGGUGUAGCAGUGAAAUGCGUAGAGAUCGGAAGGAACAUCUGUGGCGAAGGCGACUAUCUGGGCCAUUACUGACACUGAGGCACGAAAGCGUGGGGAGCAAACAGGAUUAGAUACCCGGGUAGUCCCUGUCUCUUAUAC
rnacentral:rRNA from 1 species